rnacentral:rRNA from 1 species
CCAGCAGCCGCGGUAAUUCCAGCUCCAAUAGUGUAUCUUAACGUUGUUGCAGUUAAAAAGCUCGUAGUUGAAUUUCUGGGGGGGUCGCUUUGGUCACCGGCCGGGUGACCCCUUCAUCCGCCUUGGAACUAGGAAGGGUAUUUAGUUACUGGCCUAGGGAAGUGGCAUUUUACUUUGAAGAAAUUAGAGUGUUCAUAGCAGGCUUUUGCUUGAAUAUAUCAGCAUGGAAUAAUGGAAUAGGACAUCGUCCGUCUCUUGGUGAUUGGACAUGUAAUGAUUAACAGGGACAGUUGGGGGCAUUCGUAUUCGUUAGUCAGAGGUGAAAUUCUUGGAUUUAACGAAGA